AACGAACGCUGGCGGCGUGCCUAACACAUGCAAGUCGAGGGAGAAAGCCCGCAAGGGUGAGUAAACCGGCGAACGGGUGCGUAACACGUGGAUAAUCUACCUUCCUGACUGGGACAACUGGCCGAAAGGCUUGCUAAUACCAGAUAAGCCCACGGCGUCUUUGGACGCUGAGGGAAAAGGUGGCCUCUGCAUGCAAGCUA
rnacentral:rRNA from 1 species